rnacentral:rRNA from 1 species
ACGAACGCUGGCGGCAUGCCUAACACAUGCAAGUCGAACGCCUGUAGCAAUACAGGAGUGGCGCACGGGUGAGUAACGCGUGGGAACCUGCCUAGUGGUAAGGAAUAACCGCGGGAAACUGCGGCUAAUACCUUAUGAGCCCUACGGGGGAAAGAUUUAUCGCCAUUGGAGCGGCCCGCGUCUGAUUAGCUAGUUGGUGAGGUAAUGGCUCACCAAGGCGACGAUCAGUAGCUGGUCUGAGAGGAUGAUCAGCAUCACUGGGACUGAGACACGGCCCAGACUCCUACGGGAGGCAGCAGUGGGGAAUAUUGGACAAUGGGCGCAAGCCUGAUCCAGCCAUGCCGCGUGGAUGAUGAAGGCCUUAGGGUUGUAAAGUCCUUUUAACGGGGAAGAUAAUGACGGUACCCGUAGAAUAAGCCCCGGCUAACUUCGU